GCCUUUCUCUGACUUUCCAGAUUUGUGCAAGUAAGUAAAGUGUAUGCUUUUAUUUGUUUGGCUUUUCCCUAACUGUGUGCUUGGUUUAUAUUACUUUUUCUGUCCAAAAUGCUAAUUUUUAUCUCUUGACUAUUUUGUUUCUACAGACUUGACAAAAUGAAGGGUUUGGAUGUGGGAGAUACCUAUCCUAAUGCCAUAUCAGCACGGUCAUUUGUACACUUUAUUGCACAGGAAGAAAGAAAACAUACAAAAACAAAAUAUGCAGCUGCCAAGUUUCUUGCAGUCUUGUGUGAUGGUUCAGUUGAUAGUGCAGUGGUGGAGGAAGAAAUUAUUUAUGCUAGAUUUGCAAUAGAAGGCAAGGUACACACAAGAUUUGUGGCUUUGCAGUCAGUUGAAAAGGCUGAUGCUGAAACCAUUUCUCAGGCAGUAAAUGCAGCAGUUACACAACACCUUGACCAGUCGUGGAAGGAGAAACUAGUUGCAAUAGGCACUGAUGGAGCAGCAGUGAUGCUGGGAAAAAAAUGGAGGGGUUGUGCAGAAACUAAAAGGACAGAGAAAGCAUGUUGUUGCAAUUCACUGCAUGAGUCACCGCUUGGAGCUCAGUGUCAGGGACACAGCAGCCAAUAAUGAGAGUCAUCAGAAGUUAAAGGAUCUACUUCUAGGGUUAUAUUUAUUUUAUCACAAGUCAGCACUCAACCGUGCAAAUCUUAAGAACAGCUAUGCUUCUUUGAAAAUGAGGACACUAUUGCCUACACGAGCAGAUGGGACACGAUGGGUAGGCCACUUCUGGCGUGCACUUGACCAUUUCCUCAAAGGUUACAAAGCAAUUAUACAACAUCUUGAUCAGGUAUGUAGACCUCUGCCCCUUCCCUCUGCUAUCUCUAUCUCUCCAGCCUUCCCUUGCUUUCUCCCCAUGUCUCUCAAGACCCCUUUCUCUCCCUCCAUUUCACCCUCCCCACUCCUGUUCCUCCCUAUCUGUCCCUUUCCCCCUACCUCUAAUUCCUUUUAUCUCUCCUGUGCUGCUGUCAUUCACUCUCUCUGCCUCUUUCUCUAGCUCUCCCUCCCUCUCUCUGUCUCUCAAAAUUGAGAAACCAAAAUCCCAGAGAGAGAGAGAGAGAGAAAGAGAAUAAAAAAUGAGAGAUAAGCAGGGCAAUUAUGUAUACUACUUUAUUUCUAGGUCCAAUCUCCUGAUGCAAAAGGUGUGAGAGGAGAACAGCAAGCAAAGGCCAGAUGCUUUUACAGAGCUGCUACAAGUCUGUCAAUGGUCCAGUAUGCUUGCUUCGUGUAUGAUGUGCUUUUACAGCGAUGCAACUUGUCCAACACUCUUCAGAACCGAAAUGCAAGUGUUGCAGAUGUCCACAACAGUUUGGAAGUGACAAAAAAAAUACUGAUCGCUCUGAAAGAGAGGCCUGUACCUGGGUCACUUCUUCAUUCUAUUCAGUAUGAUGAAGAAGGCACAGCUAGGUUUGAAGGAGUUGAGUUGAAAGGAAAGAAUGAUGCCUUCAAGAGUUCAAAAAAGAAGUUUCUGGAAGCAAUACAGUCCAGCUUUGAAGAUCGCUUUGAAGACAUUGAAGAAGGAGUUCUUCAGGCAACAUUGGUGACAUCCUUCAAAACAUGACCUGACAAAGAAAACUCAGAAGACUUUGACAAUGAAGACAUUGUAACUCUGACCAGUCAGUUUCAACCAGUACUAGAGGCACAGGGUGUUAGUUGUAGGGAAAUAGUGAAUGAAUGGACAGUUCUUAAGACUAGUUUGUAUAACAAGAAUGACUGGGAGAAGAAGCUGAAAACGGUCACCUGGCCUGAACUCAACAGAGAAUUCGGAGAUAAAUGUGGCCAUCUUCUGAGUUUGAUGGACUUGAUUCUAACCUUGCCAGUCAGCACAUCAGAAUGUGAAAGAGGCUUUUCCAAAAUGAAGAUGAUCAAAAGUGACUGGCGCUCCUCCCUCAUAACUUCAACAUUGUCAGAUUUAAUGAUUGUAAACCUUCAUUCUGCACCAGUAGAUCAAUUUGAUCCAAGUGAUGCAGUAAGGCAUUGGGAACAGCAGGACCAAGAAAGAGAAAUGUCACAUACAAAAGGUCUACAAAUGAAACAUCAAAUUUAGUAAUUGCUGAGGUAGCAGAGGUUCCAAUCCCUUUUGAUCAUCUUGAAAAUGAUGAGGAGCAAGCAGAAGAGUUUGAGGUGUCAAGACUUAAUGAGGUUUAUGAUUGUGAGUUGAACUUCCCAGAGCACUCUGACUCAGAUUGACAUCUGUUAACAGUUUCAACAAUGUUUCAUGUGCAGCAUAGAUCAGUUACUUUCUGUAUUGACUUCAAUACAAUGGCUGAGGCUCAGUUACUAAUUUUAUUUUCAAAUUUGCUUAAAAUAUAUCAAUACUAGUUCACUAAAAGUCUAAUUUUGCACUAUUCCAUAGUUCAAUGAUUGUAUAAUUGGACCAAUGUCAGGAAUGUAUACAAAAACAAAGAAUACAGGUUUGUGAGAUAAUAACAACAA